UGGGGCGUCGCCAAGUGGUAAGGCAGUGGAUUUUGGCUCCGCCAUUCGUAGGUUCGAAUCCUUCCGCCCCAG
rnacentral:tRNA from 2 species